CCCUCAAGGUGGAAUUAUCUUCAAUUGAAGCAUUUGCCCUUCUGUGUUGAUGUACUUCAAUUUCCAUAGUUCUGUCAUUGGAAUGCAAUGCACCUGCUGGGCAAGAGAUGGCAUCCGAAAGCUCUGGCAUUGUUAAUCACUUCAUCAACGUCGAAUCGCCAAAUGCGAAACUCCAACUUCAUCUCCAAUCAGUCGAUGCAGCCAGCGGGGCAUUUGGACUUCUAGAUACAAGAUACCACACACAAGAUACAUAUAUACGAGUACUCGUAGUCGAAUGCCAGAUAAAUCUCAGCAGCAUCAAACAUUUUUGCGGCCUUCGUGUACACCGGGGGGUAGUCAGCUUGCCGCAUGCCGCAUGCCGCAGUUGAAGUUGCAGUUGCAGAUGCAAAACUCUUGGAAUUAUGAUGUGCUCGUGCUCGUCGAGAUGGCGGUGACUGCUAACUAAUAAUUGCCUGAACUUAAGGCAGUGUCCACGUUGGCGGGGGCAGCAAAUAAAUUUGCACAGAGUUGCAAAUCAUUUGAAUGGCGGCGACUCCCAACUGCCAACUGCAAACUGGCAAGUGAGUCUGUUCGUCUAUUCGUCUGUUGACUUGUUACACCCUGUACCUAAAAGCUGAAGAGGGUCACUUUACUUUGUAGAAAGGAAACUAUGCAUCACAUUAUAAGGAUAAGAAAGAAUAUAUACAUAUUCUCGAUCAGCAUCAAAUAUUGAAUCGAUUAGUCUUAACGAACAUCUAGAUGUCAGACUGCAAGAGCUAGAGACACCAAACGUGGUAUCUAUUGUAGGUUUCUGCAUAAAUAAAUUAUGAGCGCAGUUUUAAAGCUGAA